CGGACGGGUGAGUAAUGUCUGGGAAACUGCCUGAUGGAGGGGGAUAACUACUGGAAACGGUAGCUAAUACCGCAUAACGUCGCAAGACCAAAGAGGGGGACCUUAGGGCCUCUUGCCAUCGGAUGUGCCCAGAUGGGAUUAGCUAGUAGGUGGGGUAAAGGCUCACCUAGGCGACGAUCCCUAGCUGGUCUGAGAGGAUGACCAGCCACACUGGAACUGAGACACGGUCCAG
rnacentral:rRNA from 1 species